rnacentral:rRNA from 1 species
GACGUAGGGCGCAAGCGUUGUCCGGAUUUAUUGGGCGUAAAGAGCUCGUAGGCGGCUUGUUGCGUCGUCCGUGAAAACCUGUGGCUCAACUACAGGCUUGCGGUCGAUACGGGCGGGCUGGAGUUCGGUAGGGGAGACUGGAAUUCCUGGUGUAGCGGUGAAAUGCGCAGAUAUCAGGAGGAACACCGGUGGCGAAGGCGGGUCUCUGGGCCGAUACUGACGCUGAGACACGAAGGCCAGGGGAGCAAACGGG